rnacentral:rRNA from 1 species
AUUGAACGCUGGCGGCAGGCCUAACACAUGCCAGUCGAGCGGAUGAAGGGAGCUUGCUCCUGGAUUCAGCGGCGGACGGGUGAGUAAUGCCUAGGAAUCUGCCUGGUAGUGGGGGAUAACGUCCGGAAACGGGCGCUAAUACCGCAUACGUCCUGAGGGAGAAAGUGGGGGAUCUUCGGACCUCACGCUAUCAGAUGAGCCUAGGUCGGAUUAGCUAGUUGGUGGGGUAAAGGCCUACCAAGGCGACGAUCCGUAACUGGUCUGAGAGGAUGAUCAGUCACACUGGAACUGAGACACGGUCCAGACUCCUACGGGAGGCAGCAGUGGGGAAUAUUGGACAGUGGGCGAAAGCCUGAUCCAGCCAGGCCGCGUGUGUGAAGAAGGUCUUCGGAUUGUAAAGCACUUUAAGUUGGGAGGAAGGGCAGUAAGUUAAUACCUUGCUGUUUUGACGGUACCAACAGAAUAAGCACCGGCUAACUUCGUG